rnacentral:rRNA from 1 species
AGCUCGUGUCGUGAGAUGUUGGGUUAAGUCCCGCAACGAGCGCAACCCCUACGUUUAGUUGCUAACGCGUGAAGGCGAGCACUCUAGACGAACUGCCGUUGACAAAACGGAGGAAGGUGGGAUGACGUCAAAUCAUCAUGCCCCUUAUGUUCUGGGCUACACACGUGCUACAAUGGCCGGUACAGACGGAGGCGAAGCCGCGAGGCGGAGCAAAUCCGAAAAAGCCGGUCUCAGUUCGGAUUGCAGGCUGCAAUUCGCCUGCAUGAAGUCGGAAUCGCUAGUAAUCGCAGGUCAGCAUACUGCGGUCGAAUACGUUCCCGGGCCUU